CUGCCUCAACCUCCCAAGUAGCUAGGAUUACAGAUAUGUUGCUGGAAUAGAUAUACUUCUGAUUCUACAAACAAAUGCCAGCGAGGAUAGUCCCGUUGAGGACAUGCUAAAUGUUGAGAGGCCACUGGACUUUGAUCCACCCUCAGCCUAGGCCAGCACUGGACUGUGGAAUAGUCCCUCCCUAACCACCCCUCCUGAAAAUUGGUAAGCCACCAAGAAGGACAUUCCAUGCUCAACUGUCCCAUUAAUGUCACCUGCUCCUCCCCUCCACAAUAGUUUUUUUCUAGGCCUGUUUAUUCCUUCCUGUAGGAGAAAAAGAGAAAAAAGCCCAUUGCUAUCUGAUCUUUGAGAUGAUUGCAGAUCUUACCUUUGAGGCAUUCUUGUUACAAUAGUUUCCCUGACCCUAUUAAA